UGAAGGCUGCGUUGUACGUUUGUAUAUGAAGUUUCAACCUUUACUUAAAUAACGGGAGUUCAAAAUUAUUGAAGGAAUAACAUGCCUACAUUAUGUAGGACGUUAGGAAAACAAUUGCGAACACCCACCUGGUGGAGCAGGUUAUGAAACUCCAUAUUAAUCGGCGGCAACAGCGGCUUAUUG
rnacentral:other from 1 species